rnacentral:lncRNA from 1 species
GAAGUCUUUGCUGAGAAUCUUUUUGUGCUGCUGAGAUUAUUCCACUGAUGUGGAUGGUCCAUGGCUGUUAUGUGACCGUCUGUACUACAUGACCAUCGUGAAUCAAUAUAGGUGUAGCCAUCUCACUGGAAUGGCAUGUACUGAAAGCUUUAUCCAGGCACAGUUUAGAUCCUCUCCCCAGUCUGACUUCCUUUCUAUGACCCCAAUGUCAUAGCUCAUUCAUGUGUGACUUAAACACUUUUUUGAAACUCCUCUGCAUGGGUACUACUAAUACAAUUGGUUUCUUUGUUGCUGCCAAUGGUGGGUUCAACUACCUGUUAAACAUCAUUUUCUUGAUGGUUUCUUAAGUGGCCAUCCUAUGUACUUUGAAAACUCACAGCUUGGAGGAAAGAUGCUAAAGUUCUCUACCUGCAUCUCUCACACCACCAUGGUCAUCUUAUCUUUGAGUUCUGUAUAUCUGUGUAUCUGUGCCCAGUGACCCUUCCCCAAUCAAUAAAGCAAUGGCUGUGUUUCAUACCGUGAUAAAUCCUAUGUUAAAACCUUUAGUCUAACCCUCAGAAAUGCAGAGGUGAAAAGUGCUUUGAGAAAGGUCUGGGU